CGCGGGAGGGCCGGGGGCGGCUCCGCUCCUGCCCGCGGGGCUGAGCCAGGUCCCGCUGCUGCUGCGGCCCCGCCGGGCUCAGCCUCCCUGGGCCGGGCAGGAGCUGCCCUGACCGCGCUGAGCUGCAGCUGAUGCCAACCUCUGCGGCUCCAGAAUCGCUCUGCGGCCCAGGGAGCUGCGGCCUGGGGUGGCACCGAGCCAGGUGCCAGCUGCUGUGCCCAGCUCCGGGCGCGGCUGGGGCACAGGAGGUGCAGCUUUGGGCUGCGUCCUCCCCGCUGGGGCUCGAAGCUCCUGUGCCUGCUGUGCCCCCGAGCCCUGACUGCCUUCCCUGCCCCCUCCCUGCGGGAGCAGCAGCGCCAAGGUGCCCCCCCCGUGCUGGGCAGGGAGCUGAGGAGAUGCCCACCCUGGGCUGUGCCUGCUGGAGGCUGCUGCGGCCACUUGGGCUGCCUCGGGGCCGUGGGCAGGCAGCAGGAGAGGUCUGCAGAGGAGGGAAGAGCCCAGCAGAAGCCAGCUCAGGAUGGACAGCUCAGGUCCGGUGUGAAGGGGUUUCCACCCUCCCUGAACUGUUCCUGCCCCCUCUUGGGUCAGCAACCAGCUCCAGGUGCCCUGAGCUGGGCACAGCUCACAGAGACAGGUGGGAGUUAAUGAAUGGACUGCAGUUAACACACUCUAAUAAACAGCUUUUAAUUACAUCUUCAUUAACAA